rnacentral:rRNA from 1 species
GUCUACGGCCUUGCCACCUUGAACGUGCCCGAUCUCUCGGAAGCUAAGUAGGGUCAGGCCGGGUGAGUACUUGGAUGGGAGAAAUGCGCCAGCUAUCCUAUGACCUAGUGAGAGAGCAAGACUGAUGAAAAAA